GCCUUCAUGAAGCCGGAAUUGCUAGUAAUGGCAGGUCAGCAUACUGCCGUGAAUACGUUCCCGGGCCUUGUACACACCGCCCGUCACACCAUGAGAGUUGGGGAUACCCGAAGCCUGUGAGCUAACAGUAAUGAAGCAGCAGUCGAAGGUAGAAUCAAUGAUUGGGGUGAAGUCGUAACAAGGUACC
rnacentral:rRNA from 1 species